CUAAGAAUUGCCAUGUUGAAAGAUUGGGAAAAAAAUCUCAAAACUCACUCAGAAGGAAAACUUUGCACAUAUGUUACCUUUAAAGCAAAUUUUGGUUGUGAAAAAUAUCUUAAUAUUGUUAAAAAAUUUGAAGAUAGACGGAGUCUAACAAGAUUUCGCAUAUCUGCUCACCAUUUACUUAUAGAGAGAGGUAGAUAUAGUAAUACUCCCCGACACAAUAGAAUAUGUAAGAGAUGUUGUAGUAAUGAGGUCGAAGAUGAAACACAUUUUCUUUUUAACCGUGAUAGUUUAUCAGAUCAAAG
rnacentral:lncRNA from 1 species